AUGUUUUAUAAUUGCUUCUCUGUCCCCUCUCUAUUUUCAUGGACUAGCGUCGAAACCAAAGAGAAGCUCAUCCAAAUCAGCUGUGAGCCAACAAAAAAGCCAGUAGAGUGUGACAGAAACCCUCCGGGACCCUCGAAUCAAGAACAAACUGAGAUCGCAGCGUCGCACGGACACAAAAUAGUGGUUGGCGGUGACUCCAGGGUGAAAGGCCAGCUUAGCAAAGUCACACUCUCUAACCAAAUAAGUAACUCUGCAGUGGAAAGGAGCCCCGUCGUGGAGGGUGAAGCAAAGUGUGCACUGAUAAAAAUUGCAAAUGAUGCCAAGAAUGAAGCAAAUUCUAGCCAAGUCUUCAAGAUGAACAAAAUUGGAAUUGGUAAUGAUGUCUCGCAAAGUAAACACAGCAAUGAUGAUGCAUUUAAAGACCAAGGCAAGUGCGAUCCUUGUCUUCAAACAGUAUCAAAGUCAAAAAUCCCCAAAAGGUUGAUCCCAGGUGACGACGUAGCAGUGACAGUGUGCGACACCUCACUGACAGAUGCCUCUGGAAGAGUUGCAAUCAAAGCCCAGAAACAAACUUGCACCAAAGAAUCUUCAAAAACAGAAAAUAAAGUGGACAAAAAGCACAUGACAGAAAAAAAAGAGGACUUAAGUGACAUUGGUGGUGUAGGAAAACAAGGGGAUAGCAUUAAAACAGCACAGUCGGUGGAGAAGCAAAGCAAAUAUCCUGUAAACAAUGCAUGCGACCGUGAGGACGUGAGGGCCUCCUUGGCAUUAAAGAGUGCCAACAUUCCAUGUCUGACUGGAAAAAACUGUGAUAUCACAACUAUAAAUGAGACAAAGAGACCAGCAAAGACCAGCAAAAUAAAUCUGGAAUCAGAGCUACAACAGAGCCCUAAAAAGCAGACAUUGGCCCAAGGUCCCAAACACUCAAAGACAGCAGGUAGCAAACAGCCACCUAAACCACCCAAACACUCCAUCAAAAGCAGACCUACUCUUCAAGACUGUGAGCCUUCAUCUCCCGCCAGCAAUGACAACACACUACAGCUGUCUAAGCAAAGUACAACCAAGACCAGCAUGAAAGAGCAAGAAGAUAUGACAUCAAGUGGAGGCCAGGUUCCUGCGGGCGAUCCAAAGAGCCUCAUUCCAGUAAAGGCAAGAAAAAUAUCACCUGACUCUCCCUCAAACCCGACUGCUGUUGAGCAGGAACACUCAAAGCAGAAUACCAACCCUUGGAGAGCCGUCGAUACACCCAUUCAUGCUACAGAACAUCAAGUGAAGGUCAGUAGUGACCAAGUCAGAUUGAAACCUAUGGAAGAUCAGAACAAAGUGGUCACAGACACAAAAUCCAGUUCCAGUACAAUUAGUAUGAAGAGAAAACAAUCAAAGGCAUCUGAGGCAAGUAAGAGCAGCUCCAUCAGCAAAGAUAUCGUUAAAGGAGAUGUUAGUCUGGUCACUGGCCCAGACACUGAAGCAGUGGGUCAGGUGGUUGGUACCAGUCCACCCUAUUCACCAGCCGCUCUUAAAAAUAUGGCUGAAGUUGACAGUCAACAACCACUCGAUCAGACUCAGACGCAAACAAAAGUUGAGAUUCUGCCUAAAACUCCACUGUGUACUGGUCAAAAAAAGGAUCUUCCAGGGUCAAACCAGGUAGUCAAUGACCCAACUGCAGAUAUACAGCAGGAGGAACAGGCCACUGAGAGCAGUCCUGCAAGGUUGUCUCAGGAUCUGAUAGCAGCUCAGGAGGAUAUCAGGGCUUUAUCAUCACAAACCACUGGACCAGAUGAGGACUUGAAGAAGAUACAAAGAGCAGAGAAAGGUCAACUUGAUGGGACAGCAGAGGGUUUGAACAUUGACCCCGAGAAUGCAGAUGUCGGCCAGUACCCCGUUAAUGUUGAAAAUAAACUAACAAAUUUGAGAGAGGAUUUGAGAGAUGAAUUAGAAAGACAGUUGGAUUUCAAGACAAACAAGAAACUGAACUCUGACCUGAAAGCUCAACGCAGUCCCUUACAGUCUCUUAGAGAGACAGGGAAAGCCAUUCCAGAAGCCUCACUAGUAACAAACUUCCAGACAGAGGGCAGUGAUACUCAAGUCAAGAGCGCAUUAGAUGAAAAUGAAGCCAGUGUCAUGGAUAUAGGACAAGACUCUGAGUUAAGGAGAGUUAAGGAGAUAGAAGUAGAAAGGUCAACAGUGCUGUGCGACGACAAGCACUUAAAUCCUGAGAGUCUGAAAAAAUCAAAGCAAAUAGUUGCUGAUGUUCUAGGAAUGGAUGUAACCGAUGUAAUGCAAGAAUCUGACAGCCACAUGAAAGAAAAGGCAGGUGUCCAGCAAGAGGUGCAAUUUAAAAAAGACCCACUGAGUGGCAACGAGACUGGGAGGUUCAGCGAUAUACCUAUCGAAGAACAUGUUUACGCAAAAAUGAAGAGAAAACAAUCAAAGGCAUCUGAGGCAAGUAAGAGCAGCUCCAUCAGCAAAGAUAUCGUUAAAGGAGAUGUUAGUCUGGUCACUGGCCCAGACACUGAAGCAGUGGGUCAGGUGGUUGGUACCAGUCCACCCUAUUCACCAGCCGCUCUUAAAAAUAUGGCUGAAGUUGACAGUCAACAACCACUCGAUCAGACUCAGACGCAAACAAAAGUUGAGAUUCUGCCUAAAACUCCACUGUGUACUGGUCAAAAAAAGGAUCUUCCAGGGUCAAACCAGGUAGUCAAUGACCCAACUGCAGAUAUACAGCAGGAGGAACAGGCCACUGAGAGCAGUCCUGCAAGGUUGUCUCAGGAUCUGAUAGCAGCUCAGGAGGAUAUCAGGGCUUUAUCAUCACAAACCACUGGACCAGAUGAGGACUUGAAGAAGAUACAAAGAGCAGAGAAAGGUCAACUUGAUGGGACAGCAGAGGG
rnacentral:lncRNA from 1 species